rnacentral:rRNA from 1 species
UUCUUGGAGAGUUUGAUCCUGGCUCAGGACGAACGCUGGCGGCGUGCCUAAUACAUGCAAGUCGAGCGAAUCGAUAGGAG